GUGCUCAUUUCAGCAGCACAUAUACUAAAGUUGGAAUGAUACAGAGAAGAUUAGCAUGGCCCCUGCGAUACAGAGAAGAUUAGCAUGGCCCCUGUGCAAGGAUGACAUGCAAAUUUGUGAAGCGCUCCAUAAAAAA
ensembl:snRNA U6 U6 spliceosomal RNA